rnacentral:rRNA from 1 species
AUGAGGCAAUCCGGCUCCACUUCCCGCCCUCAGCAAAUCAAGGCCUCCAAAAGCCCUAGCAAGGAAUCUGUAAGUGAUGCUCGGACAACUGAAUCAAUUUGCUCUGCUGUCCAGCACUAUGCAUGGUGCAUAUCAGUUUCAGUUAAGGAUAUGUACGCCGACUGCCAGAAGGGUGAUCCUUCGACAGUAAUUUUUGUUGUCAACCGCGUCAACAUACCGAAGUAUGUAUCAUCAAGGAGUUAUGCCACCAACCCAUGGUUCGCAGGCCGGCCAGUCGUUCCAACAUCAACUACUACCGUUGAACUUCUUGAUUCCCACUUCCAAUCGCUGUCUGCACAGCACCUUGCCAGAACUCGAUAG